UGGGUGGCUCAAACAACAAAAAUUUAUUGCUCACAGUUCGGGAGGCGGAAGUCUGAGGUCAGGAUG